rnacentral:rRNA from 1 species
AGGACUAACGCUGGCGGCGUGCCUAACACAUGCAAGUCGAACGAAGUAGCAAUACUUAGUGGCAGACGGGUGAGUAACACGUAGUCAACCUACCUCUUAAUGGGGGAUAACUAGCCGAAAGGUUAGCUAAUACCGCAUACGAUCGCCGAGUGGCAUCACACGGCGAUGAAAGGAGCAAUCCGUUGAGAGAGGGGACUGCGUCCCAUUAGUUAGUUGGUGGGGUAACGGCCUACCAAGACUCCGAUGGGUAGCUGGCUUGAGAGAGCGACCAGCCACACUGGAACUGAGACACGGUCCAGACUCCUACGGGAGGCAGCAGUGAGGAAUUUUCCGCAAUGGGGGAAACCCUGACGGAGCGACGCCGCGUGUGGGAAGAAGGCCUUCGGGUCGUAAACCACUGUCGAGGGGGACGAUAUUGACGGUACCCCUGG